rnacentral:rRNA from 1 species
GUCCCGGUUUAAGCGUGUAGGUGUGUGUUCCAGGUAAAUCCGGUUCACUUUAACACUGAGGCGUGAUGACGAGGCACUACGGUGCUGAAGCAACAAAUGCCCUGCUUCCAGGAAAAGCCUCUAAGCAUCAGGUAACAUCAAAUCGUACCCCAAACCGACACAGGUGGUCAGGUAGAGAAUACCAAGGCGCUUGAGAGAACUCGGGUGAAGGAACUAGGCAAAAUGGUGCCGUAACUUCGGGAGAAGGCACGCUGACACGUAGGUGAAGUGAUUUACUCAUGGAGCUGAAGUCAGUCGAAGAUACCAGCUGGCUGCAACUGUUUAUUAAAAACACAGCACUGUGCAAACACGAAAGUGGACGUAUACGGUGUGACGCCUGCCCGGUGCCGGAAGGUUAAUUGAUGGGGUCAGCGCAAGCGAAGCUCCUGAUCGAAGCCCCGGUAAACGGCGGCCGUAACUAUAACGGUCCUAAGGUAGCGAAAUUCCUUGUCGGGUAAGUUCCGACCUGCACGAAUGGCGUAAUGAUGGCCAGGCUGUCUCCACCCGAGACUCAGUGAAAUUGAACUCGCUGUGAAGAUGCAGUGUACCCGCGGCAAGACGGAAAGACCCCGUGAACCUUUACUAUAGCUUGACACUGAACAUUGAGCCUUGAUGUGUAGGAUAGGUGGGAGGCUUUGAAGUGUGGACGCCAGUCUGCAUGGAGCCGGCCUUGAAAUACCACCCUUUAAUGUUUGAUGUUCUAACGUGGACCCGUGAUCCGGGUUGCGGACAGUGUCUGGUGGGUAGUUUGACUGGGGCGGUCUCCUCCUAAAGAGUAACGGAGGAGCACGAAGGUUGGCUAAUCCUGGUCGGACAUCAGGAGGUUAGUGCAAUGGCAUAAGCCAGCUUGACUGCGAGCGUGACGGCGCGAGCAGGUGCGAAAGCAGGUCAUAGUGAUCCGGUGGUUCUGAAUGGAAGGGCCAUCGCUCAACGGAUAAAAGGUACUCCGGGGAUAACAGGCUGAUACCGCCCAAGAGUUCAUAUCGACGGCGGUGUUUGGCACCUCGAUGUCGGCUCAUCACAUCCUGGGGCUGAAGUAGGUCCCAAGGGUAUGGCUGUUCGCCAUUUAAAGUGGUACGCGAGCUGGGUUUAGAACGUCGUGAGACAGUUCGGUCCCUAUCUGCCGUGGGCGCUGGAGAACUGAGGGGGGCUGCUCCUAGUACGAGAGGACCGGAGUGGACGCAUCACUGGUGUUCGGGUUGUCAUGCCAAUGGCACUGCCCGGUAGCUAAAUGCGGAAGAGAUAAGUGCUGAAAGCAUCUAAGCACGAAACUUGCCCCGAGAUGAGUUCUCCCUGAGACUUUAGGUCUCCUGAAGGAACGUUGAAGACGACGACGUUGAUAGGCCGGGUGUGUAAGCGCAGCGAUGCGUUGAGCUAACCGGUACUAAUGAACCGUGAGGCUUAACCUUACA